rnacentral:rRNA from 1 species
UACGAAGGGGGCUAGCGUUGCUCGGAAUCACUGGGCGUAAAGGGUGCGUAGGCGGGUCUUUAAGUCAGGGGUGAAAUCCUGGAGCUCAACUCCAGAACUGCCUUUGAUACUGAGGAUCUUGAGUUCGGGAGAGGUGAGUGGAACUGCGAGUGUAGAGGUGAAAUUCGUAGAUAUUCGCAAGAACACCAGUGGCGAAGGCGGCUCACUGGACCGGUACUGACGCUGAUGCGCGAAAGCGUGGGGAGCAAACGGGG